rnacentral:rRNA from 1 species
CCUACGGGAGGCAGCAGUGGGGAAUAUUGGACAAUGGGCGCAAGCCUGAUCCAGCCAUGCCGCGUGAGUGAUGAAGGCCUUAGGGUUGUAAAGCUCUUUCGUCAGGGAAGCGGUACCUGAAGAAGAAGCCCCGGCUAACUUCGUGCCAGCAGCCGCGGUAAUACGAAGGGGGCUAGCGUUGCUCGGAAUCACUGGGCGUAAAGCGCACGUAGGCGGCUUUCUAAGUCAGAGGUGAAAUCCCGGAGCUCAACUCCGGAACUGCCUUUGAUACUGGAGAGCUUGAGUUCGGGAGAGGUGAGUGGAACUGCGAGUGUAGAGGUGAAAUUCGUAGAUAUUCGCAAGAACACCAGUGGCGAAGGCGGCUCACUGGCCCGUCUGACGCUGAGGUGCGAAAGCGUGGGGAGCAAACAGGAUUAGAUACCCUUGUAGUC